AUCUAACUGACAAGUCCCAAAUAGCACGAAACGAGCGUCUUGGAU
rnacentral:hammerhead_ribozyme from 1 species